GGAAGGAUCAUUACUAAAUAAUCCAUAUGGGUUUUAAUCCAUAUCCACCUCUUGUGCAAUGUUUACUGUUAGUUCCCUCUUGGUGUUUAGAGUUAGUACGGGCCUUUGGUUCUACUGCUCUCUUCCCCGGGAGGUGAACACUUAUUACAAACCCUUUAUUUGUGCCUGUCUUAUAAUGUGCUGAAAAGCAAAAAUUAUAAUACAACUUUCAACAACGGAUCUCUUGGCUCCCACAACGAUGAAGAGCGCAGCGAAAUGCGAUACGUAGUGUGAAUUGCAGAAUUCCGUGAAUCAUCGAAUCCUCGAACGCAUAUUGCGCUCUCAGGGCCUUCCUGAGAGCAUGCCUGUUUGAGUAUCAGGGUCAAACUCAGCACUUUAUUGUGUUGGAUCUGGACUUUCCACGGUUCUAACAAAACCGCGAAGUCUUAAAUGUAGAAUCACAGGGCUAUUGAUUGCCUUAACCAUAGUUUGGUCAUUUGCAUUUUGCAAUUAGCUUACCUUGGUUAAAUCAAAGUCUUGUGGGCUUCUGGCGUUGGGCCACCUUCAGCUAGAAAAUCCAAGGGCUAACGCUCUUGAGCUUUUGAUCUCAAAUCAGGCAAGAUUACCCGCUGAACUUAAGCAUAUCAUUAAGCGGAGGAAAAGAAACUAACAAGGAUUCCCCUAGUAACGGCGAGUGAAGCGGGAAUAGCUCAAAUUUGAAAUCUGGGAGGGCUACCCUCUCCGAAUUGUAGUUUAAAGAAGUGUUUUCGGCUUGCAUGCUCGGGGUAAGUGGUCUGGAACGACCUGUCAGAGAGGGUGAGAACCCCGUCUUUACUCGAGUAUUGCGGCUAUGUGAUGCACUUUCAACGAGUCGGGUUGUUUGGGAAUGCAGCCCAAAAUAGGUGGUAAAUCUCAUCUAAAGCUAAAUACCGGUGGGAGACCGAUAGCGAACAAGUACCGUGAGGGAAAGAUGAAAAGAACUUUGAAAAGAGAGUCAAAUAGUACGUGAAAUUGUUGAAAGGGAAACGAUUGAAGUCAGUGUUGCGUUUAGAUAUUCAGCCGGGAGGACGUGUUCAGGCGUGUUAGGAUGAGCGUAAGCCGUCUUGCAUGGUUGGGCAAGUUCAACCGCGUGCACUUAUCUAAAUGCAGGUCAACAUCAGUUUCGGCUGACGUAAAAUGGCUUUGGGAAGGUAGCGAUGCUCUCGGGUGUCGUGUUAUAGACCAAGGCACAUGCGUCGGUUGGGACUGAGGAUCGCAGUGCGAGCUUUCGGGCUGGGCCAGCAGUGGCUUUUGGGCUCCCAAUCUUUGGCUGCUUGCAGACUAAGGUUGCAGAGUUUAGAACCCCGCUGUGAUGCCACAAUCGCGCUUAGGAUGUUGACGAAAUGGCUUUAAACGACCCGUCUUGAAACACGGACCAAGGAGUCAAACAAAUAUGCGAGUUUUUGGGUGUCAAACCCGAAAGCGUAAUGAAAGUGAAUGCAGGUGGGAUCCCGCAAGGGUGCACCAUCGACCGGCCUGGAUUUUUAAUGAUGGGUCUGAGUAAGAGCAUAUCUGUUUGGACCCGAAAGAUGGUGAACUAUGCCUGAAUAGGGUGAAGCCAGAGGAAACUCUGGUGGAGGCUCGUAGCGGUUCUGACGUGCAAAUCGAUCGUCAAAUUUGGGUAUAGGGGCGAAAGACUAAUCGAACCAUCUAGUAGCUGGUUCCCUC
rnacentral:misc_RNA from 1 species